GGAAAACAGCCAGCGUUUGUUUUAUUUGGUAUGUUACUUUAUGCAAGCUAUAUCAUAAGACACACGCGGCUAUUUUCC
rnacentral:pre_miRNA from 1 species